rnacentral:misc_RNA from 1 species
GAAAUAAGGGGGAAAUAUUAUCAUAAUUGACAUAAUGCCAAGCAUUAAUGAUAGUAAAUCCAAGAAAAAUGAAAGCAUAAUAUGAACAUAAGCAAUACAAUAGCAUACAGAGAACCCCAAACAAAAUUCUCAGAAUCAAUUAUUUUCAUCCUGAUAACAGAGCAAGCCAAACUAUCGUGUGGCUGCACAACUCCUCUGCAGCUUUUCCUGUUGCCUCGUUUCGCGCGCCACCCUAAAAAGAAGAUCAUCCUCUUCGAAGCUUCAAAAAUGGCCGGUCAAAGUAGUCUUGCGACCUGAUAAAUCCAGUAAAAUCCACAAAAUCAGAGGGAAGAGAAAGAAAUUAUUAAAACAUCUGAAUCCUGAACAAAACAUAUGUGAAAACUGAUAAUGCUUACAGGAACAAGAGAUAGGUUCUUCUUGAUGGGUUUUCUUCUUGGAGGAAAGAAGGAAAUGUUUUGUUCAGAAAGAAGAGGUCUUGGCUUUGCAAUAAUAAUCAGAGAACCCAUGUCUCUCCCUCGAUCUCUCCUUCGUGCCUCUUCUGCCUUGUGGG